GACGAACGCUGGCGGCGUGCUUAACACAUGCAAGUCGAGCGAGGCCUUCCCUUCGGGGAAGUGUCCUAGCGGCGAACGGGUGAGUAACACGUGGGCAACCUGCCCCUAGCACUGGGAUAACCCCGGGAAAUCGGGGCUAAUACCGGAUAUGACCUCGGAGGGCAUCCGCCGAGGUGGAAAAGGUUACUGGCUAGGGAUGGGCCCGCGGCCUAUCAGCUUGUUGGUGGGGUAAUAGCCCACCAAGGCGACGACGGGUAGCCGGCCUGAGAGGGCGACCGGCCACACUGGGACUGAGACACGGCCCAGACUCCUACGGGAGGCAGCAGUGGGGAAUAUUGCACAAUGGGCGAAAGCCUGAUGCAGCGACGCCGCGUGAGGGAUGACGGCC
rnacentral:rRNA from 1 species